CCGGGCCGCCCCCGCCCCGCUCCGCCCCGGGGCCGUGCCGCCCCACAGCCCGGCCCCAUAAAGAGGCCGAGGAGGGAUGGGGGUGGCCCCUCUGCCCUCCCCCGGUGCGCCCUGCCCCGUGCGCCCUGCCCCGUGCGCCCACCCCGGUGCCCCCGGUGCGCCCUGCCCGGUGCCGGGGAUGCUUCGCCGCCGCGGAGCCUUCAGCGUGGAGCGGCUCCGGGGGCUCGGGCCCGGCUCCGGCUGGGGCGGGUAUAAAAGGCAGCGCCGGGACGCGUGCCCGGCACUCGGCUCUCGGCGAUGUGGGGUGGCUCCCGCGCCGUCUGGAAGAGGAGGUGCAGCUGCUAUGGUCCCUGGGAGACGGCGGAGAGCUGCGUGGUGCGCACGUCCGCCAGCGUCUACCGUCGGCUGCACGAGAGCCCCCGGAGCCCCCCGGUGGGGAUGAGCGGCGAGGAAUCGGGCGCUUGGGGCCCCCCGCAGCCCCGGCCAGCCCCGGGCAGCCCCCAGGCGAGCGGGCGGCUCCUCAAGUCGGAGUCGGAGGACUCCGGGGUGGAGAUGGCGAGCAACGAGAACUCGCCCUCCACCCCGCUGGGCUCCGAGAGCAGCUUCUCCCUCGAUGGCUUCCAGCCAGCCCGCGGGGACCCCCAGAAGAGCCCCCCGGGAGGGGAACGUGGUGCUGAGCCCCCCCGGCCCCUCCGCAGCCGCUCGGCCAGCAGGAAGCCGGGGCAGCAGCGCAGCAGGAGGCAGCGGCAGCUCAGCCGGCGCAGCACCAGCGCUGGGGACCCCCGGGGGCUUGGCGCCGAGGAGCCCGAAGCAGCCGGGGCCGAGGCAGAGGGGGCAAUGCCGGGGCAGGGGCUGCGGUACCUGGAGCACAUCUGCCAGAUGCUGGAGCGCGUGGCGCGGCUGCAGCAGGACAACCGGCUGCUCCGGCAGCAAGCGGCGGGCGCCCGGCGCGCCGGCACCA
rnacentral:lncRNA from 1 species